rnacentral:rRNA from 3 species
AGAGUUUGAUCCUGGCUCAGGAUGAACGCUGGCGGCGUGCUUAACACAUGCAAGUCGAACGAACCUUCGGGUUAGUGGCGGACGGGUGAGUAACGCGUGGGAAUCUGCCCUCAGGAGGGGGAUAACGGUUGGAAACGACCGCUAAUACCCCAUAUGCCGAUAGGUGAAAUGAAUUUCGCCUGAGGAUGAGCCCGCGUCUGAUUAGCUAGUUGGUAAGGUAAAGGCUUACCAAGGCUUCGAUCAGUAGCUGGUCUGAGAGGAUGAUCAGCCACACUGGGACUGAGACACGGCCCAGACUCCUACGGGAGGCAGCAGUGGGGAAUUUUCCGCAAUGGGCGAAAGCCUGACGGAGCAACGCCGCGUGAGGGACGAAGGCCUCUGGGCUGUAAACCUCUUUUCUCAAGGAAGAAGAUAUGACGGUACUUGAGGAAUAAGCCACGGCUAAUUCCGUGCCAGCAGCCGCGGUAAUACGGGAGUGGCAAGCGUUAUCCGGAAUUAUUGGGCGUAAAGCGUCCGCAGGCGGCCUUUCAAGUCUGCUGUUAAAGCGUGGAGCUUAACUCCAUUAUGGCAGUGGAAACUGAUAGGCUUGAGUAUGGUAGGGGCAGAGGGAAUUCCCGGUGUAGCGGUGAAAUGCGUAGAUAUCGGGAAGAACACCAGUGGCGAAGGCGCUCUGCUGGGCCAUUACUGACGCUCAUGGACGAAAGCCAGGGGAGCGAAAGGGAUUAGAUACCCCUGUAGUCCUGGCCGUAAACGAUGAACACUAGGUGUCGGGGGAAUCGACCCCUUCGGUGUCGUAGCUAACGCGUUAAGUGUUCCGCCUGGGGAGUACGCACGCAAGUGUGAAACUCAAAGGAAUUGACGGGGGCCCGCACAAGCGGUGGAGUAUGUGGUUUAAUUCGAUGCAACGCGAAGAACCUUACCAGGGUUUGACAUCCUGCGAACCUCUUAGAAAUUUGAGGGUGCCUUCGGGAAUGCAGUGACAGGUGGUGCAUGGCUGUCGUCAGCUCGUGUCGUGAGAUGUUGGGUUAAGUCCCGCAACGAGCGCAACCCACGUUUUUAGUUGCCAGCAUUUAGUUGGGCACUCUAGAAAGACCGCCGGUGAUAAACCGGAGGAAGGUGUGGAUGACGUCAAGUCAUCAUGCCCCUUACACCCUGGGCUACACACGUACUACAAUGCUACGGACAAAGGGCAGCAAACUCGCGAGAGCUAGCAAAUCCCAUAAACCGUGGCUCAGUUCAGAUCGUAGGCUGCAACUCGCCUACGUGAAGUAGGAAUCGCUAGUAAUCGCAGGUCAGCAUACUGCGGUGAAUACGUUCCCGGGCCUUGUACACACCGCCCGUCACACCAUGGAAGUUGGCCAUGCCCGAAGUCGUUACUCCAACCCUUGUGGAGGAGGACGCCGAAGGUGGGGCUAAUGACUGGGGUGAAGUCGUAACAAGGUAGCCGUACCGGAAGGUGCGGCUG